AACUCAUAGUCAAAACCCACUGAAAGCCAACAAAAUAUAACAAUAUGAGCUUUCAUGCUGACCUGUAUCAAAAAAUAAUGCCUAGACUAUUGCUUAGUAAUGUAACCUUUCUCUUAGACUUGCAGGAAAAACUGAACGAGACAGAAAGAUGUUCAGAUGAUAAGCAGAAAAUUACAGAUCUGCAGCAAAGCCUGAAUGACAAAAUCAAGGAGCUGCAGUCCAAAUCGAACUCUGUUACUUCACUUGCUCUACAAAUUUCUACAUU